rnacentral:tRNA from 1 species
GCAAAUAUAACUCAAUAGGCAGAGUGUAAUCGUGCCAAGAUUAAAGUUAAGGGUUCAAGCCCCUUUAUUUGCU